CGUGCUGUGGUCCAGAGGGUGAGGAGGCGAGUGAGGGCGGCCCUAGGCGUUGCUAAGUGACGGCUGGGACUUGGCUGGGCGGAGCCGCGCGCUUCCUCGGGGACUGGCGUGCGAGGCCGCGCGGAGGGAGGUGAGGGCGCCCAGGAGCCCGGCCUGGGCGCCCGGCUUUGGGAGCACUGUGUUUCGCGCGUGCUAGCAAACUAACGCCGAGUCGGAACUCGCGCCUCCCUCCCGGUGCUGAUCUACAUGGCAUUUUCCCAACCGGGACCUGCUCCUCCUGAAUUAGCUGCCUUCCUUUCAGUUGGCAGAUCCUUUGUGAACCAGUGGUCCUUCCCAAAGAAAUCAUAUCCACGGAUGAGGAUUAAAAAACAUGUUUGGGAAAGACCCUGAGCAGAAGACGCAGCUAAGCUGUACCCAGAUUUUGGACACUGUGAGUAUUUCACUGUCGGAUUGCAGAACCUCAAGAGAAACAAUGGGAAAGGCCAUCUUCAGACAAGAAUCUGCCCUGCCCUCAACUCCUUAGACCCUUGGCUGACAGUUUUACUUUGAAGAAUAACCCAAGACCACACUCCAUCACAAGGAGACAGACAAAGGCCAAGGUGGAGAACUGUGAGGCCGUGUCCCUCCAAGGAACAGGGGCAGGAGGCAGAGGCCACAACAGCCGUGCUGGCAUCUGAACACACCAGGACAAGAGGCACCUCCUCACGGGCCGGCCCAGCCUCAGGGUGUUACAGGCUCAGGAAAGCUGUAUAAGUGUGACUUAGAUGAGUACCAGGCAUCAUUCAUGUGCACUGAGGAGGGGAAGGGCGUGACAGCUUUCAUUAGACGGUGUUUACGUCUGUGAAUCCAUUUUUCUGCAGCUCAGGAUCACAGAUACUUGGACAGCUUAGCCUUACUGAGACACAGACCAACACUGUGACAAAGGGAAAACCUGCUGUACCUAGUUAGUACACAGAAGCAGCACUCUCCAUGCUAAUGAAGUGGUACCAAAAAUGUUUUUAAAAAAUGAGAUCUCAUAUAAGAGGAGUACUUCUCACGACCCUGUGGCCACCCAUCAGCUUCCCCAGAGACCUCCCCUCCAGCCUGGCUGGAGCAGAGAGG